rnacentral:rRNA from 1 species
AUUCCAGCUCCAAUAGCGUAUAUUAAAGUUGUCGCGGUUAAAAAGCUCGUAGUUGGAUUUCUGCUGAAGCAAACCGGUCCGCCCUCUGGGUGAGCAUCUGGCUUUAUUUUGGCAUAUGCUUAGACUUUGCAGCUGCACUUGACUGUGUGGUGUGAAGGCUAAGCCAUUUACUUUGAGGAAAUCAGAGUGUUUCAAGCAGGCAAUUGCCUUGAAUACACUAGCAUGGAAUAAUAUGAUAUGACUGUGGUUUUAUUUUGUUGGCUUCUAGAAUUAGAGUAAUGGUUAAUAGGGAUAGUUGGGGGCAUUCAUAUUUAACUGUCAGAGGUGAAAUUCUUGGAUUUGUUAAGGAUGAACGACUGCGAAAGCAUUUGCCAAGGAUGCUUUCAUCG